UACGUAGGGUGCAAGCGUUGUCCGGAAUUAUUGGGCGUAAAGAGCUCGUAGGCGGUUUGUUGCGUCGGCUGUGAAAUCCCGAGGCUCAACCUCGGGUCUGCAGUCGAUACGAGCAAACUAGAGUGUUGCAGGGGAGACUGGAAUUCCUGGUGUAGCGGUGAAAUGCGCAGAUAUCAGGAGGAACACCGGUGGCGAAGGCGCCGCUCUGGGCCGAAACUGACGCUGAGGAGCGAAAGCAUGGGUAGCAAACAGG
rnacentral:rRNA from 1 species